rnacentral:rRNA from 1 species
UACGUAGGUGGCAAGCGUUGUCCGGAAUUAUUGGGCGUAAAGCGCGCGCAGGCGGUUUCUUAAGUCUGAUGUGAAAGCCCACGGCUCAACCGUGGAGGGUCAUUGGAAACUGGGAGACUUGAGUGCAGAAGAGGAAAGUGGAAUUCCAUGUGUAGCGGUGAAAUGCGUAGAGAUAUGGAGGAACACCAGUGGCGAAGGCGACUUUCUGGUCUGUAACUGACACUGAGGCGCGAAAGCUAGGGGAGCAAACGGG